AUGAAUGGGGGGUGGGGCACUUGUGGGCAGAGACGGAGGGCAGGAAGGAGGUCGCUCUAUCACCUCAAGGCUUGUGGAGAGCUGAUUUCAUGGACUACUGGGAAGAGAAGUCGUACCCUCUUUCUCCAGUGGUCAUUAGCUUCCAGCCCCUUCUAUGGCCUGAAGCUAUGUCAGUUCACACAAAGCAAUCAGGAAUACCUGCAGUUUUCAACCUGGAGAACUGAAAACAUUCCCCAGCAUGCUGCCAGCAUGAAGAAGCUCUGUAAUUACAGACGUGCAGGGGCUUGUGUUCCUGACCUCACUCAUCGAUGAAACACUUCCGUCCCCUUCACUUCCCAUGGUGUCUUUAUCGAGGAAGUGUAAAGCUGGGUCCUUCAGAAAAAGAAAUGAAGAGAAUCUUGAGGUUCUUGUAAAGAUCAAGUGUCCAGCUGCUGUGGAUGUCGGCUGCUAUACUCAGGGAAAGUGGCAUAGAAAAUGGGUUUUCUGCGUGUGUGGAACAGGGCAAAGGAAGCUAACUGGUAAGAGGAUUCUUCUCCCAACUCCAGCCCAGGAUCCUGUGGAAAAGCUGCAUUAUAAUCGAUAGCCUCAUAAAUAAAUAAAUAGUCAACGCAUCCUGUCUCCAGUUCAGGGCUUCUUUAGGAAAAUCGAACCCCGACCCACUUCUGCUUGCUCAUUCUGGAUUUCUAUGGAGGCUUCCAGUGGGAAGAAACUCUUAAAAGUCAUUUUGGGCAUUCCUCUGCUUCAGGGCUGGCCUGCCAUCAGUCAUGACCUGAAGGAAAGAAUUAGGAGGCUGAGGGUAACUAGAAGAAGCUGAGAAUUCCUCUGCUCUGCUCUGCUCUGCUCUGCCUCAGCAAGAGGAGGGGACAGGAGGAGGAGGGGAGCAGGGAAGGCCAGUGGCUCUCAUUCCAAAGGAGGAACUGUUCCAGCUCCUAGAAUAAGUGAAAGAGUGCAGGCCAAAGAUGGAAGGGGAAGACAACUGUAGGGCCCCACGGAGUCCCUGGGAAGGAUGUCAGGAGACUGGGUCCCCUAUCUGGACUUGCUCUGGGGUGAGGGGGAGGGCUCACAUUUAUUAAAUGCUUGUUCUAUGCCAGGCACUAUGCUAAGGACUAUUGUAGUAUGAAUGCAGUUUGCAUAAGGGCUGGGAGCAUGGCCUAAGUGACAUGUGACUGUGUUCAAACCCAACUUUGCUACUCACUAGCUCUGUGACCUUGAGUAAGUUACUUAACCUCUCUGUGCCUCAGUUUCUUCAUUAAUAAAAUGGGAAUAACAGUACCUACCUGGUAAAGUCAUUUGAAGAUUAAGUGUAUUUACAUACAAAAGCUCUUAACAUAGUAUCUGCCAGGUAGAAAGAUAAGUUUUUGCUGUUAUUCCUUUGUUGAAUCCUCACACAAAGCUCUGAAGUAGCUACUAAUCUCUGAGGCUCAAAGAAAUCAAAUGACUUGCCCGAGGUCCUGGGUCCACUUGACAGCCUGGGUGCCCCCUCCUAAGAUUCCCUCUCUCGGGGGAAGCAGCUUCAGAACCCGCCAGCUCCCACCCCAGGUCCACCCCAGUCUGGAAACUCCGUGGCUGCUUCAGCAGCUGCAAGAACAAAGAUGGAUCUCUACUGUGCCUGUGAGGCCUGGCACGCCUCUUGGGGAGGAGGUCCCCCCAUCCUCUGUGGCAGCACCCUGACGCCUCAGCCUGCCCCCCUGCCCCGGGCCUCCCCUGGAGCCUCCCACCUCCCAGCACAGUCUCCCCUGCUCGUGCAAGACGCCGGCUGCCAGCCUGGAGGAUAAACAAACUGGCGCUCUGGCCCAGCCCUCUGCUGGCGGGCGGUUCCCCGCCCCCCUCGAGCCGCAGUGCACAGUCGCUCUGUUCUCCUGCCAACUUGGCAGCGCGGCUCUGCUGUUACUAUCAACACCUCCAAGGGAAGAGGGAGAGGAGUGAGUUCUAUCGCCUGGCACACUGAGCAGCAAAUACGUGUCAGAGCCAGCCCGGAGUGUCUCCCUGGCUCCCGGGGCUCCUGGUGGAGAAGGAAAGGUGGGCCAGAGCAGAGAGGCCCUGACUGCAAGCCAGCACCCCCCGCACAGCCCCUGGGAGCCGGCAGCUGGGAGAGAAAGGGCCACAGAGGGUGCCCUGAGGCCUGGAACCACGCUGCCUGGGACCUACCCCACCCCAGUGCUUGCCACAGGCCAGGGGGGCUGAUAGCUUGAUCCUGGACGUGGCUGGUGGAGGGUGGGGCAGCCUAUGGCCAGGAGAGAAGAAACGAGUCUUUUCUCUGCAGACUGGGAAGCCCUGGACUGUGUGGCCGUGCCUUCUCUCAUCUCUCUUGGACUUACGUGCAGUGAGCCCCUUCCCCCUUGUAGAACUGGAUUGGGAGCCCUUAAGGGGCCACACGUCCCCACUGAAUGGAAACUGCACAGGCAGAAACCACAUUUCCUUUUCCCAACCCUCUCCCCCAGGCUCUCAGGCCCUGCCCCCAUGGGCUCCCUAAAGCGGCUGAUACCCGUCUCAGCUCCUGCCGGAGUCCUGGGGCCCCUUUUGGAAGAAGAAAGAGCCCCUAUUUCCAAGGACCCAGUGCUCCACCUCCAGCAAUGCUGGCCCACAGCACAGGGUCUACAUCAAGUCACCUGCCCCUGACAGGAUGGAGGGUGGUCACCUCGCAGCCUCUCCCAGGAAGAAUUGCUUUCAUAGCUUUCUUGUGAAAGGGAAGGCCUUUGUGUCCUGCUUUGGGCAUCAACAAAGGUGGCAGGUUCAGGGAAACCUCCUAACCCUUACACCACGCUGCCAGCUAGUCUACCCACAGCUGAGUUGUAUGCUCACAGUCUAUGUGCUGUCAGCCUGUCUCCUCCCCAGUAACAGAGCAAUAACCUUUCCUAAUCCAUGAGCCGAUGGUGAUAAAGACACGUAGAUGGUGCUUAUGUUUCUAGGGCUGUGCCUGGCACUUGGAAUCAGUAUGUUUUCCUUCCUUCUUUCCUACUUUCAUACCUCCCCACCCCCUUCCCUCAUUUCUUUCUCUGCUCCC